rnacentral:ncRNA from 1 species
CAACCUCAACUCAUAUGGGACUACCCCCUGAAUUUAAGCAUAUUAAUUAGGGGAGGAAAAGAAACUAACAAGGAUUUUCUUAGUAGCGGCGAGCGAAAAGAAAUCAGUUCAGCACUAAGUCACUUUGUCUAUAUGGCAAAUGUGAGAUGCAGUGUACGGAACAUCAACAUUC